CAGCAGCGCGGUAAUACAGAGGGUGCGAGCGUUAAUCGGAUUUACUGGGCGUAAAGCGUGCGUAGGCGGCUUCUUAAGUCGGAUGUGAAAUCCCUGAGCUUAACUUAGGAAUUGCAUUCGAUACUGGGAAGCUAGAGUAUGGGAGAGGAUGGUAGAAUUCCAGGUGUAGCGGUGAAAUGCGUAGAGAUCUGGAGGAAUACCGAUGGCGAAGGCAGCCAUCUGGCCUAAUACUGACGCUGAGGUACGAAAGCAUGGGGAGCAAACAGGAUUAGAUACCCCAGUAGUCCCUGUCUCUUAUACA
rnacentral:rRNA from 1 species